rnacentral:rRNA from 1 species
GUUAGGAAUAUUGGACAAUGGGCGCAAGCCUGAUCCAGCCAUGCCGCGUGAGUGAUGAAGGCCUUCGGGUUGUAAAGCUCUUUAGCCGAUGAUUAUAAUGACUGUAGUCGGAAAAUAAGCCCCGGCUAACUUCGUGCCAGCAGCCGCGGUAAUACGAAGGGGGCGAGCGUUAUUCGGAAUCACUGGGCGUAAAGCGUGCGUAGGCGGCUUUGCAAGUUGGGAGUGAAAGCCCAGGGCUCAACCCUGGAAUUGCUCUCAAAACUGCAAGGCUCGAAUUCGGGAGAGGAUAGCGGAAUUGUCAGUGUAGCAGUGAAAUGCGUAGAUAUUGGAAGGAACACCAGUGGCGUAAGCGGCUAUCUGGACGAGUAUUGACGCUGAGGCACGAAAGCGUGGGGAUCAAACAGGAUUAGAUACCCUAGUAGUCC